GAUGAACGCUAGCGGCAGGCUUAACACAUGCAAGUCGAGGGGUAACAUAAGGUGCUUGCACUUUGAUGACGACCGGCGCACGGGUGCGUAACGCGUAUAGAACCUACCUUAUAUUAGGGGAUAGCCCAGAGAAAUUUGGAUUAAUACCCCAUAGUAUUGCGAUGUGGCAUCACAUUGUAAUUAAAGAUUUAUUGAUAUAAGAUGGCUAUGCGUCCUAUUAGCUAGUUGGUAUGGUAACGGCAUACCAAGGCUACGAUAGGUAGGGGUCCUGAGAGGGAGAUCCCCCACACUGGUACUGAGACACGGACCAGACUCCUACGGGAGGCAGCAGUGAGGAAUAUUGGACAAUGGAGGCAACUCUGAUCCAGCCAUGCCGCGUGUAGGAAGACUGCCCUAUGGGUUGUAAACUACUUUUAUAUAGGAAGAAUGUACACUACGUGUAGUGUUUUGACGGUACUAUAAGAAUAAGGAUCGGCUAACUCCG
rnacentral:rRNA from 1 species